rnacentral:tRNA from 1 species
GCGCACGUGGUGAAACUGGUAGACACGCCAUCUUGAGGGGGUGGUGCAUUAAGUUGUGUGGAGGUUCGAAUCCUCUCGUGCGCACCA